GAUGAACGCUAGCGGCAGGCCUAAUACAUGCAAGUCGAACGGUAAGGCCCUUUCGGGGGUACACGAGUGGCGGACGGGUGCGUAACGCGUAUGCAACAUGCCUUCCAGCGGGGGAUAUACCAGGGAAACUUGGCGCAAUACCCCAUAGAAUUACGGGACCGCAUGGUCUUGUGAUUAAAACUCCGGUGCUGGGAGAUUGGCAUGCGUGACAUUAGCUAGUUGGCGGGGUAACGGCCCACCAAGGCGACGGUGUCUAGCUGGUCUGAGAGGAUGAUCAGCCACACUGGGACUGAGACACGGCCCAGACUCCUACGGGAGGCAGCAGUGGGGAAUCUUAGACAAUGGGCGCAAGCCUGAUCUAGCCAUGCCGCGUGAGUGAUGAAGGCCUUAGGGUUGUAAAGCUCUUUCAGAUGGGAAGAUAAUGACGGUACCAUCAGAAGAAGCCCCGGCUAACUCCGUGCCAGCAGCCGCGGUAAAGUCAC
rnacentral:rRNA from 1 species